AUGAUGAUCGUCACACGGUUUUCUACUCCUAUUCGCGUUUUCCGUGCAGAUUCAGCUGCGUGUAUGGUUUUUCCUUCACAAACGCUGGUGUACCUAAAAAUUGUUUCUGCCUUCGCCACUACCUCUGGUCAUGUCGCCCUCUCUGAAGAGCCUUGGUCUGAUGCAAUGCCACGACAUCUCCAAGAAAGGAUUCAUGGACCUGAUAGUAAAGUUCCCUCAGAGAACCGUGACGUGUAUGAGGCCAUUAGCAGAGCAUGCUCGCAGUUAAAGCUCUUUGUGCUGGCCCAUCCAGUGUACUUUCUGCAUCCGGACGGCAGCUAUGGUUUCCAUGAUGGGGAUGUGCUUGGAAUCGCUAUGAUGAAGCAGCUGCGGCACCUUAGUCUUGAUUGCGUCGACAUCAACAACGCGGAACUAGUGAGCAUCAUUGAUAGCUGUCCUUACCUCGAGCAUCUUUGCAUGCGCUACUGCUACAACAUCGUCGCCGACGAGGCACUACGAGCAAAGUGCGCCAGGAUCAAGACUCUAAAGCUUAAACCCGUGUCUGAUGAAAUUGCUUCUAACGAUUGUUGCUUCGUUUUUUCCGAUCCACCAGUUGACGAGUUCGUCAUACUUUCUUUCUUUGACACCUAG
rnacentral:rRNA from 1 species